rnacentral:miRNA from 1 species
CACCUCAUCAAUCAGAAGGAAUUCCUUCCGGUCGAUGAGGUUGUUACACCUCAUCAACCGGAAGGAAUCCCUUCUGGUCGAUGAGGUU